GCCGCUGCAAAAUCAGUGGCCGGGGGUGAGAGCCCGAACCAGAACAGCAGGCGCACGGCGCCAGUGGCGCUUUUUUU
rnacentral:sRNA from 1 species